rnacentral:rRNA from 1 species
AUUGAACGCUGGCGGCAUGCUUUACACAUGCAAGUCGAACGGUAACAGGCCUUCGGUGCUGACGAGUGGCGAACGGGUGAGUAAUGCAUCGGAACGUGCCCAGAGGUGGGGGAUAACGCAGCGAAAGCUGUGCUAAUACCGCAUGUGAUCUGAGGAUGAAAGCGGGGGACCAGGCAGCAAUGUUUGGCCUCGCGCCUUUGGAGCGGCCGAUGUCAGAUUAGGUAGUUGGUGGGGUAAAGGCCUACCAAGCCGACGAUCUGUAGCUGGUCUGAGAGGACGACCAGCCACACUGGGACUGAGACACGGCCCAGACUCCUACGGGAGGCAGCAGUGGGGAAUUUUGGACAAUGGGCGCAAGCCUGAUCCAGCAAUGCCGCGUGCGGGAAGAAGGCCUUCGGGUUGUAAACCGCUUUUGUACGGAACGAAAAGGCUCUGGCUAAUACCUGGGGCUGAUGACGGUACCGUAAGAAUAAGCACCGGCUAACUACGUG